rnacentral:lncRNA from 1 species
AAUAAUCUAGACAAAAAAUAGUAAAAUGAAAAAAUACAAUGCAAGUUACUGCGCCCAAUAAUACCAUAAACAAGAUUCAUCCUGAAAUAAUACUAAUCUUUUACCCUAAUCCUCCUCCUCCACAACUUAUAUUUUCUUCAUUUUUCUCAAACUUUAUUUUUAUUUUUUCUUCUUAAUUUUGUUUUUCUCAAUCUUUAUAUUUUAUUUUAUUCUUCUCUUUUGUUUUC